CGUCCAGCUCGUGGUUGUGAGAUGUUUGGGUUAAUACCGCAACGAGCGCAACCCUUGUCCUUCAUUUGCUUCCCUCGUAUGAGGUGCUCUAUAAGGAGACUCCCCGGCGACAUAACCGGAGGAAAGAGGGGAUGACGUGCAAGUCAGUAUGCCCCUUAUGCUCUUGGGCUACACAGGCGCUUACAGUGGCAAGGACACAUGAGUAGCAAGAGUGCAAGCUCAAGCUAAUCUCACAAACCUUGUCGUGGUGCGAAUUGAAGGUGAAACUCACCUUCAUGAAGCCGGAAUCGGUAGAAUG
rnacentral:rRNA from 1 species